rnacentral:rRNA from 1 species
ACGGGGGAUGCGAGCGUUAUCCGGAUUUAUUGGGUUUAAAGGGCGCGUAGGCGGGACGCCAAGUCAGCGGUAAAAGACUGCAGCUAAACUGUAGCACGCCGUUGAAACUGGCGCCCUCGAGACGAGACGAGGGAGGCGGAACAAGUGAAGUAGCGGUGAAAUGCUUAGAUAUCACUUGGAACCCCGAUAGCGAAGGCAGCUUCCCAGGCUCGGUCUGACGCUGAUGCGCGAGAGCGUGGGUAGCGAACAG